rnacentral:rRNA from 1 species
AGAGUUUGAUCAUGGCUCAGGAUGAACGCUAGCGGCAGGCUUAAUACAUGCAAGUCGUGGGGCAGCAGUCCCGCAGCAAUGCGGGAGCUGGCGACCGGCAAACGGGUGCGGAACACGUACACAACCUUCCUUUUAGUGAGGAAUAGCCCGGGGAAACCCGGAUUAAUACCCCGUAACAUAAUGAAGUGGCAUCACUUUAUUAUUAUAGCAGCAAUGCGCUUUAAGAUGGGUGUGCGACUGAUUAGGCAGUUGGCGGGGUAACGGCCCACCAAACCUACGAUCAGUAACUGGUGUGAGAGCACGACCAGUCACACGGGCACUGAGACACGGGCCCGACUCCUACGGGAGGCAGCAGUAAGGAAUAUUGGUCAAUGGACGCAAGUCUGAACCAGCCAUGCCGCGUGGAGGAUGAAGGUCCUCUGGAUUGUAAACUUCUUUUAUCUGGGAAGAAACCCACGAAUUCUUUUGUGGUUGACGGUACCAGAUGAAUAAGCACCGGCUAACUCCGUGCCAGCAGCCGCGGUAAUACGGAGGGUGCAAGCGUUAUCCGGAUUCACUGGGUUUAAAGGGUGCGUAGGUGGGCAGGUAAGUCAGUGGUGAAAUCUCCGGGCUUAACUCGGAAACUGCCAUUGAUACUAUCUGUCUUGAAUACCGUGGAGGUCAGCGGAAUAUGUCAUGUAGCGGUGAAAUGCUUAGAUAUGACAUAGAACACCAACUGCGAAGGCAGCUGGCUACACGAAUAUUGACACUGAUGCACGAAAGCGUGGGGAUCAAACAGGAUUAGAUACCCUUGUAGUCC